rnacentral:rRNA from 1 species
AAACCAGCACCUCAAGUGGUCAGGAGGAUUAUUGGGCCUAAAGCAUCCGUAGCCUGUUCUAUAAGUUUCCGGUUAAAUCCAUUAGCUCAACUAAUGGGCUGCCGAAAAUACUGUAGAACUAGGGAGUGGGAGAGGUAGACGGUAUUCGGUAGGAAGGGGUAAAAUCCUUUGAUCUAUUGAGGACCACCUGUGGCGAAGGCGGUCUACCAGAACACGUUCGACGGUGAGGGACGAAAGCUAGGGGAGCAAACCGGAUUAGAAACCCCAGUAGUCC